AGCUAAUACCGCAUAACGUCGCAAGACCAAAGAGGGGGACCUUCGGGCCUCUUGCCAUCGGAUGUGCCCAGAUGGGAUUAGCUAGUAGGUGGGGUAACGGCUCACCUAGGCGACGAUCCCUAGCUGGUCUGAGAGGAUGACCAGCCACACUGGAACUGAGACACGGUCCAGACUCCUACGGGAGGCAGCAGUGGGGAAUAUUGCACAAUGGGCGCAAGCCUGAUGCAGCCAUGCCGCGUGUAUGAAGAAGGCCUUCGGGUUGUAAAGUACUUUCAGCGGGGAGGAAGGGAGUAAAGUUAAUACCUUUGCUCAUUGACGUUACCCGCAGAAGAAGCACCGGCUAACUCCGUGCCAGCAGCCGCGGUAAUACGGAGGGUGCAAGCGUUAAUCGGAA
rnacentral:rRNA from 1 species